AUUGAACGCUAGCGGCAUGCCUUACACAUGCAAGUCGAACGGCAGCGGGGGAGAAGCUUGCUUUUCCUGCCGGCGAGUGGCGAACGGGUGAGUAAUACAUCGGAACGUGCCCUGUAGUGGGGGAUAACUAGUCGAAAGAUUAGCUAAUACCGCAUACGAACUGAGGGUGAAAGUGGGGGACCGCAAGGCCUCAUGCUAUAGGAGCGUCGGAUGUCUGAUUAGCUAGUUGGUGGGGUAAAGGCCUACCAAGGCGACGAUCAGUAGCUGGUCUGAGAGGACGAUCAGCCACACUGGGAAUGAGACACGGCCCAGACUCCUACGGGAGGCAGCAGUGGGGAAUUUUGGACAAUGGGCGAAAGCCUGAUCCAGCAAUGCCGCGUGUGUGAAGAAGGCCUUCGGGUUGUAAAGCACUUUUGUCCGGAAAGAAAUGGCUGGUUAAUACCUGGGGUCGAUGACGGUACCGGAAGAAUAAGGACCGGCUAACUACGUGCCAGCAGCCGCGGUAA
rnacentral:rRNA from 1 species